rnacentral:rRNA from 1 species
AUUGAACGCUGGCGGCAUGCUUUACACAUGCAAGUCGAACGGUAACAGGUCUUCGGAUGCUGACGAGUGGCGAACGGGUGAGUAAUGUAUCGGAACGUGCCCAGUAGUGGGGGAUAACUACUCGAAAGAGUGGCUAAUACCGCAUGAGAACUGAGGUUGAAAGCGGGGGACCUUCGGGCCUCGCGCUACUGGAGCGGCCGAUAUCAGAUUAGGUAGUUGGUGGGGUGAAGGCCUACCAAGCCGACGAUCUGUAGCUGGUCUGAGAGGACGACCAGCUACACUGGGACUGAGACACGGCCCAGACUCCUACGGGAGGCAGCAGUGGGGAAUUUUGGACAAUGGACGCAAGUCUGAUCCAGCAAUGCCGCGUGCAGGACGAAGGCCUUC